rnacentral:rRNA from 2 species
GCAAGUCGAACGCGUUGGCCCAAUUGAUUGAUGGUGCUUGCACCUGAUUGAUUUUGGUCGCCAACGAGUGGCGGACGGGUGAGUAACACGUAGGUAACCUGCCCAGAAGCGGGGGACAACAUUUGGAAACAGAUGCUAAUACCGCAUAACAGCGUUGUUCGCAUGAACAACGCUUAAAAGAUGGCUUCUCGCUAUCACUUCUGGAUGGACCUGCGGUGCAUUAGCUUGUUGGUGGGGUAACGGCCUACCAAGGCGAUGAUGCAUAGCCGAGUUGAGAGACUGAUCGGCCACAAUGGGACUGAGACACGGCCCAUACUCCUACGGGAGGCAGCAGUAGGGAAUCUUCCACAAUGGGCGCAAGCCUGAUGGAGCAACACCGCGUGAGUGAAGAAGGGUUUCGGCUCGUAAAGCUCUGUUGUUAAAGAAGAACACGUAUGAGAGUAACUGUUCAUACGUUGACGGUAUUUAACCAGAAAGUCACGGCUAACUACGUGCCAGCAGCCGCGGUAAUACGUAGGUGGCAAGCGUUAUCCGGAUUUAUUGGGCGUAAAGAGAGUGCAGGCGGUUUUCUAAGUCUGAUGUGAAAGCCUUCGGCUUAACCGGAGAAGUGCAUCGGAAACUGGAUAACUUGAGUGCAGAAGAGGGUAGUGGAACUCCAUGUGUAGCGGUGGAAUGCGUAGAUAUAUGGAAGAACACCAGUGGCGAAAGCGGCUACCUGGUCUGCAACUGACGCUGAGACUCGAAAGCAUGGGUAGCGAACAGGAUUAGAUACCCUGGUAGUCCAUGCCGUAAACGAUGAGUGCUAGUGUUGGAGGAUUUCCGCCCUUCAGUGCAGGAGCUAACGCAUUAA